UACAGAGGGUGCAAGCGUUAAUCGGAAUUACUGGGCGUAAAGGGCGCGUAGGCGGAUUUGUAAGUUAUGUGUGAAAUCUCUGGGCUUAACCUGGGAACUGCACAUAAUACUGUAAGUCUAGAGUAGAGUAGAGGAAAGUGGAAUUUCCGGUGUAGCGGUGAAAUGCGUAGAUAUCGGAAGGAACACCAGUGGCGAAGGCGGCUUUCUGGACUCAUACUGACGCUGAGGCGCGAAAGCGUGGGGAGCAAACAGG
rnacentral:rRNA from 1 species